UACGUAGGGGGCAAGCGUUGUCCGGAUUUACUGGGCGUAAAGAGCGUGUAGGCGGCCAUGUAGGUCCGUUGUGAAAACUCGAGGCUCAACCUCGAGACGCCGAUGGAAACCAUGUGGCUAGAGUCCGGAAGAGGAGAGUGGAAUUCCUGGUGUAGCGGUGAAAUGCGCAGAUAUCAGGAGGAACACCUAUAGCGAAGGCAGCUCGCUGGGACGACACUGACGCUGAGACGCGAAAGCGUGGGGAGCGAACAGG
rnacentral:rRNA from 1 species